rnacentral:rRNA from 1 species
GACGAACGUUGGCGGCGUGCUUAAUACAUGCAAGUCAACUGAAGCAGUGGUAGCAAUAUCGCUGUGGAGGUGGCGCACGGGGGAGUAACACGUAGGUAAUCUGCCUUCAGGUCUGGCAUAACUCCGGGAAACCGGGGCUAAUAGCAGAUGAUGCAGCGGCUCGACAUCGAGACAGUUGUUAAAGCUAGGGCGCCGGAAGAUGAGCCGGCGUCUGAUUAGCUAGUUGGCGGGGUAACGGCCCACCAAGGCAACGAUCAGUAGCUGGUCUGAGAGGAUGAUCAGCCACACUGGAACUGAGACACGGUCCAGACUCCUACGGGAGGCAGCAGUAAGGAAUAUUGCUCAAUGGGAGAAAUCCUGAAGCAGCAACGCCGCGUGAGGGACGAAGGGCUUUUGCUUGUAAACCUCUGUAGUGAGAGAAAAAAAUCCCAAUCUUUGGGACAUGAUGGUAUCUCAAAAGUAAGCCCCGGCUAACUACGUG